GUGGGGAAUAUUGCACAAUGGGGGAAACCCUGAUGCAGCGACGCCGCGUGAGCGAAGAAGUAUUUCGGUAUGUAAAGCUCUAUCAGCAGGGAAGAAGAAUGACGGUACCUGACUAAGAAGCACCGGCUAAAUACGUGCCAGCAGCCGCGGUAAUACGUAUGGUGCAAGCGUUAUCCGGAUUUACUGGGUGUAAAGGGAGCGCAGGCGGUGCGGCAAGUCUGAUGUGAAAGCCCGGGGCUCAACCCCGGUACUGCAUUGGAAACUGUCGUACUAGAGUGUCGGAGGGGUAAGUGGAAUUCCUAGUGUAGCGGUGAAAUGCGUAGAUAUUAGGAGGAACACCAGUGGCGAAGGCGGCCUACUGGGCACCAACUGACGCUGAGGCUCGAAAGUGUGGGUAGCAAACAGGAUUAGAAACCCCUGUAGUCC
rnacentral:rRNA from 1 species